CCUACGGGGGGCAGCAGUGAGGAAUAUUGGUCAAUGGGCGUAAGCCUGAACCAGCCAUCCCGCGUGCAGGAAGAAGGCGCUAUGCGUCGUAAACUGCUUUUCCGGAGGAAGAAAACCCCUGACGUGUCGGGGCUUGCCGGUACUCUGGGAAUAAGCAUCGGCUAACUCCGUGCCAGCAGCCGCGGUAAUACGGAGGAUGCGAGCGUUAUCCGGAUUUAUUGGGUUUAAAGGGUAUGUAGGCGGAAGUAUAACAAACCUUCAGCUUAACUGGAGACUUGCCAUUGAUACUGUUAGUCUUGAGUACGGUCAAGGUAGGCGGAAUGUGUAAUGUAGCGGUGAAAUGCUUAGAUAUUACACAGAACACCGAUUGCGAAGGCAGCUUACUGGGCCGCAACUGACGCUGAUGCACGAAAGCGUGGGGAGCGAACAGGAUUAGAUACCCGGGUAGUC
rnacentral:rRNA from 1 species